rnacentral:rRNA from 1 species
AGACCCGAAACCCGGUGAUCUAGCCAUGGGCAGGUUGAAGGUUGGGUAACACUAACUGGAGGACCGAACCGACUAAUGUUGAAAAAUUAGCGGAUGACCUGUGGCUGGGGGUGAAAGGCCAAUCAAACCGGGAGAUAGCUGGUUCUCCCCGAAAGCUAUUUAGGUAGCGCCUCGUGAAUUCAUCUCCGGGGGUAGAGCACUGUUUCGGCUAGGGGGCCAUCCCGGCUUACCAACCCGAUGCAAACUGCGAAUACCGGAGAAUGUUAUCACGGGAGACACACGGCGGGUGCUAACGUCCGUCGUGAAGAGGGAAACAACCCAGACCGCCAGCUAAGGUCCCAAAGUCAUGGUUAAGUGGGAAACGAUGUGGGAAGGCCCAGACAGCCAGGAUGUUGGCUUAGAAGCAGCCAUCAUUUAAAGAAAGCGUAAUAGCUCACUGGUCGAGUCGGCCUGCGCGGAAGAUGUAACGGGGCUAAACCAUGCACCGAAGCUGCGGCAGCGAACGUAUCACCCAAGACAACUUUACGGAGUUGACGAUUGACGGAGCGAAGCGACGUCAAAGCGUUCAUUAAAGUCGAGUUGGCUUAGGGAUACGUUCGUUGGGUAGGGGAGCGUUCUGUAAGCCUGUGAAGGUGUGUCGUGAGGCAUGCUGGAGGUAUCAGAAGUGCGAAUGCUGACAUAAGUAACGAUAAAGCGGGUGAAAAGCCCGCUCGCCGGAAGACCAAGGGUUCCUGUCCAACGUUAAUCGGGGCAGGGUGAGUCGACCCCUAAGGCGAGGCCGAAAGGCGUAGUCGAUGGGAAACGGGUUAAUAUUCCCGUACUUGGUGUUACUGCGAAGGGGGGACGGAGAAGGCUAUGUUGGCCGGGCGACGGUUGUCCCGGUUUAAGCGUGUAGGUGUGUGUUCCAGGUAAAUCCGGUUCACUUUAACACUGAGGCGUGACGACGAGGCACUACGGUGCUGAAGCAACAAAUGCCCUGCUUCCAGGAAAAGCCUCUAAGCAUCAGGUAACACGAAAUCGUACCCCAAACCGACACAGGUGGUCAGGUAGAGAAUACCAAGGCGCUUGAGAGAACUCGGGUGAAGGAACUAGGCAAAAUGGUGCCGUAACUUCGGGAGAAGGCACGCUGACACGUAGGUGAAGUGAUUUACUCAUGGAGCUGAAGUCAGUCGAAG